UACGGGGGGGGCAAGCGUUGUUCGGAAUUACUGGGCGUAAAGGGUUCGUAGGUGGCCAACUAAGUCAGACGUGAAAUCCCUCAGCUUAACCGGGGAACUGCGUCUGAGACUGGAUGGCUUGAGUGCAGGAGAGGAACGCGGAAUUCCAGGUGUAGCGGUGAAAUGCGUAGAUAUCUGGAGGAACACCGGUGGCGAAGGCGGCGUUCUGGACUGCUACUGACACUGAGGAACGAAAGCCAGGGGAGCAAACGGG
rnacentral:rRNA from 1 species